GACAGAGGUGCCAAGCGUUAGGCGGAAUCACUGGGCUUAAAGCGUGUGUAGGCGGAUGCCUAAGUACCUUGUGAAAUCCCACGGCUCAACCGUGGAACUGCUGGGUAUACUGGGUGUCUUGGGUCAUCUAGGGGCUGCCGGAACAAAUGGUGGAGCGGUGAAAUGCGUAGAUAUCAUUUGGAACGCCAACGGCGAAAGCAGGCAGCUGGGGAUGCACCGACGCUGAGACACGAAAGCCAGGGGAGCGAAUGGG
rnacentral:rRNA from 1 species